AAUAGAUACCCGGGUAGUCCACGCCGUAAACGAUGUCGACUUGGAGGUUGUUCCCUUGAGGAGUGGCUUCCGGAGCUAACGCGUUAAGUCGACCGCCUGGGGAGUACGGCCGCAAGGUUAAAACUCAAAUGAAUUGACGGGGGCCCGCACAAGCGGUGGAGCAUGUGGUUUAAUUCGAUGCAACGCGAAGAACCUUACCUGGUCUUGACAUCCACAGAAUUCUGCAGAGAUGCGGAAGUGCCUUCGGGAACUGUGAGACAGGUGCUGCAUGGCUGUCGUCAGCUCGUGUUGUGAAAUGUUGGGUUAAGUCCCGCAACGAGCGCAACCCUUAUCCUUUGUUGCCAGCGGUUAGGCCGGGAACUCAAAGGAGACUGCCAGUGAUAAACUGGAGGAAGGUGGGGAUGACGUCAAGUCAUCAUGGCCCUUACGACCAGGGCUACACACGUGCUACAAUGGCAUAUACAAAGAGAAGCGACCUCGCGAGAGCAAGCGGACCUCAUAAAGUAUGUCGUAGUCCGGA
rnacentral:rRNA from 1 species